UUUUUUUCAGUUUAGGAUUUUUAUGCUUUUUCGUCUUUUACUUCAGUACAAACAUUUUGUUUUUAAUUUAAUUUAUUUGUAAGUGAGCUGCUCAGCUGCCACAGGCGCAUGAAAUGGCCUUUUGGGCUGUAAAUUUUUGUAUGAGCAGCUUAUUAAAUCACGCAAUUUCGGUAUGUGAAAAAUGAAGUAAAUUUGUUGUAGUAAAAUUCAGAAGCAGCUCGUCUGCAACUGUGCUUUUCCGAUUAAGGAGAAUGGAAAAUUAUAGAGUGCAUAUUAACUUCAUGGGGUUUAAAUAAUAAAUAAUGACAAAAGCAUCAAAAAUAUUGGGUAUACAAAUUAAUUCGUUUCUUCGAAAAAGAUUUUUCCACAUUCCAGCCCUGACCGAUCUUGGAAGCGAUUAUCUAAGGAAAGCUUUCGCAUCUGUUUACAGCGGCUGUUUCUGAAUUCCAGCUGAAGCCCAUCGAAUGCUUGUAGAAUCUUGUGUUGAAUCUGGGCCGACCAAUAAGUCUACUCUUGAAAAUUGCUGAUUCUAGCGUCGAAGUUAAAGAGAAUCCUGACCAACCCAAAAAAUUAGAAUAUAAGAAAUUGGAAAUUGAAAUAUUGGUUUAAUCAAAAUAAGAGAAAUAAAGACCAGAGAGCAUAAGUCCCAGGA